rnacentral:rRNA from 1 species
AUGGACGCCGCCACGAGCACGGGCAUGGAGGAGCUGUCAUGGUGCGCGCGGUGCGCUGGCCUGGCUUUCCUUUUCUUCUCCGUGUGCGUGGUGGCGCUCGGCGCGGCACUCUUCCUCGCCCGCCGGUGGCCGUGGUGCAGCUGCCACGUCUGCCGCUCCUACCUCACGGGGUCGUGGGCGCGGGACUUCACCAACCUCGGCGACUGGUACGCACAUCUGCUCCGCUGCUCCCCGACCGGCACCGUGGCCGUCCACGUCCUCGGCUGUACCAUCACCGCCAACCCGGCCAACGUCGAGCACAUGCUCCACACGCGCUUCGACAACUUCCCCAAAGGGAAGCCCUUCGCCGCCGUCCUCGGCGACCUCCUCGGCGGCGGCAUCUUCAACGUCGACGGCGACGCCUGGCGCCACCAGCGCAAGAUGGCCAGCCUCGAGCUCGGCAGCGUCGCGGUGCGCUCCUACGCGUACGGCAUCGUUGCCGAGGAAGUGGAGGCGCGCCUCCUGCCACUGCUCGCCGACGCCGCCGACAAUGGCAGGGUGGUCGACCUCCAGGACGUGUUCCGGCGCUUCGCUUUCGACACCAUCUGCAAGAUCUCCUUCGGACUAGACCCGGGCUGCCUCGAGCUCGACAUGCCCAUGUCCAAGCUCGCCGCCGCGUUCGACACCGCCUCGCGGCUAUCCGCCAUGCGCGGCGCGGCGGCGUCGCCCCUGGUGUGGAGGGUAAAGCGGCUGCUGAACGUCGGCUCCGAGAGGGAGCUCAGGAAGUCCAUCCGCCUCGUCGACGAGCUCGCGGCGGCCAUGAUAAGGCAGCGCCGGAAGCUGGGCGUCGCCGGGAGCCACGACCUCCUGUCCCGGUUCAUGGCCUCGGAGGCGCACGGCACCGCCGUCGACGACAAGUACCUCCGCGACAUCGUGGUCAGCUUCCUCCUCGCCGGACGCGACACGGUGUCCUCCGCGCUCACCACCAUCUUCAUGCUGCUCUCCAAGAACCCCGCGGUGGCGGCCGCCAUGCGCGCGGAGGCCGCCGGCGGCGAGAAGACAAGGACAGCGUCGAAGACCACGUACGAGCACCUCAAGUCCCUCCACUACACACACGCGGUGCUGCACGAGAACAUGCGGCUGUUCCCGCCGGUGCAGUUCGACUCCAAGUUCUGCGCCGCCGACGACGUGCUCCCGGACGGCACGUACGUGACUGCCGGCGCGCGCGUGAUGUACCACCCCUACGCCAUGGGGCGCAUGCCCCGCAUUUGGGGCGACGACUGCGAGAAGUUCCGGCCGGAGCGGUGGCUGACGGGUCCUGGCGGGACGUUCAUGCCGGAGAGCCUGUACAGGUACCCGGUGUUCCAGGCUGGGCUCCGCGUGUGCCUCGGCAAGGAGCUCGCCGUGAUGGAGAUGAAGGCGGUGAGCGUUGCCGUGGUGAAACAGUUCGACGUGGAGGUGGUUGGGCAAAAGGGCGCCGUGCCCAGGUUCGCGCCUGGUCUGACGGCGUCCAUCAGCGGCGGGCUCCCGGUGAGGGUCAGGCGCGUCUAG